AUUGAACGCUGGCGGCAUGCCUUACACAUGCAAGUCGAACGGUAACGCGGGGCAACCUGGCGACGAGUGGCGAACGGGUGAGUAAUGCAUCGGAACGUGCCCAGUAGUGGGGGAUAGCCCGGCGAAAGCCGGAUUAAUACCGCAUACGACCUAAGGGUGAAAGCGGGGGAUCGUAAGACCUCGCGCUAUUGGAGCGGCCGAUGUCAGAUUAGGUAGUUGGUGGGGUAAAGGCCUACCAAGCCUUCGAUCUGUAGCUGGUCUGAGAGGACGACCAGCCACACUGGGACUGAGACACGGCCCAGACUCCUACGGGAGGCAGUAGUGGGGAAUUUUGGACAAUGGGCGCAAGCCUGAUCCAGCCAUGCCGCGUGCGGGAAGAAGGCCUUCGGGUUGUAAACCGCUUUUGUCAGGGAAGAAACGCUUCGGGUUAAUACCCCGGGGUAAUGACGGUACCUGAAGAAGAAGCACCGGCUAACUACGUGCCAGCAGCCGCCGUAAAAC
rnacentral:rRNA from 1 species